UACGAAGGGGGCUAGCGUUGUUCGGAAUUACUGGGCGUAAAGGGCGCGUAGGCGGUGUGUCAAGUCAGUCGUGAAAUCUCUCGGCUCAACCGAGAAACGUCGGCUGAUACUGCCGUUCUUGAGGGAUGCAGAGGAGACUGGAAUUCCCGGUGUAGCGGUGAAAUGCGUAGAGAUCGGGAGGAACACCUGUGGCGAAGGCGGCCAGCUGGGCCGGCUCUGACGCUGAGGCGCGAAGGCGUGGGGAGCGAACGGG
rnacentral:rRNA from 1 species